rnacentral:rRNA from 1 species
GUGAAAUUGUUGAAAGGGAAGCGCUUGCAACCAGACCUGCCUGCAGUUGCUCAUCCGGGCUUUUGCCCGGUGCACUCUUCUGCUGUCAGGCCAGCAUCGGUUCGGGCGGUCGGAUAAAGGCUUCGGGAAUGUAGCUCCUCUCGAGGAGUGUUAUAGCCCGUUGCGAAAUGCGGCCAGCCUGAACUGAGGUCCGCGCUUCGGCUAGGAUGCUGGCGUAAUGGUUGUAAGCGGCCCGUCUUGAAACACGGACCAAGGAGUCUAACAUCUGUGCGAGUGUUUGGGUGUCAAACCCGUACGCGUAAUGAAAGUGAACGGAGGCGGGAACCCCUCGGGGUGCACCGUCGACCGAUCCUGAUGUCUUCGGAUGGAUUUGAGUAAGAGCAUAGCUGUUGGGACCCGAAAGAUGGUGAACUAUGCCUGAAUAGGGUGAAGCCAGAGGAAACUCUGGUGGAGGCUCGCAGCGGUUCUGACGUGCAAAUCGAUCGUCAAAUUUGGGCAUAGGGGCGAAAGACUAAUCGAACUAUCUAGUAGCUGGUUCCUGCCGAAGUUUCCCUCAGGAUAGCAGUAACGUUUUCAGUUUUAUGAGGUAAAGCGAAUGAUUAGAGGCCUGGGGGUUGAAACAACCUUCACCUAUUCUCAAACUUUAAAUAUGUAAGAAGUCCUUGUU